AACGAACGUUAGCGGCGCGCCUAACACAUGCAAGUCGAACGCGACAGGGGCAACUCUGUUGAGUGGCGCACGGGUGAGUAACACGUAGGUAAUCUCCCCUCGAGUGGUGGAUAACCUUCCGAAAGGAGGGCUAAUACAGCAUAAGACCACGGCUUCGAAAGGAGCUGAGGUCAAAGCGGAGGAUCGCAAGACUUCGCGCUUGAGGAUGAGCCUGCGGCCCAUCAGGUAGUAGGCGGAGUAACAGCCCACCAAGCGUAAGACGGGUAGCUGGUCUGAGAGGAUGAUCAGCCACACUGGAACUGAGACACGGUCCAGACUCCUACGGGAGGCAGCAGUGGGGAAUCUUGCGCAAUGGACGAAAGUCUGACGCAGCGACGCCGCGUGGGUGAUGAAGGCCUUCGGGUUGUAAAGCCCUGUGGGGAGGGACGAAUAAGUUGCAGCUAAUACCUGCAGCGAUGACGGUACCUCCUUAGCAAGCACCGGCUAACUCUGUGCCAGCAGCCGCGGUAACAC
rnacentral:rRNA from 1 species